CAACAAUGGCACCUAGAUACAGCAAAAAUAGAACAUGCUGCUUCAUGAGAGUGAAGAGCAUGUGGAUGUUCAGUACUAAGGCUUCAGAGGUCUUAAGAUCAAGUGACCCAGCAGAAGCCAGGCCAAGACACUUUAGCUGUGGUUGAUGCUGCUACACACUGGCAAAUAUCACAACCAGGGGAUCCCUGGGGAGCUCUGGAGCUGAAGAGAACUUUCACAAAUCUGAUCCCAUCUGAAACUCAAAACAUCUGAGGGAGGAAAAGCCUGUAUUCCUACCCACCUUAAGAGAUGAGUCAGCUGAACCUCAAAGAAGAAAACAUGAUCUAAAGACAAGCACAAAACUGGUGAGCUCAGGUCUCACAUUCCUGGUUUAAUGCUUUCCUGCUUAAGCUGUGAUGUAUGCUGGAUAUGGGAAGCUAACUAAAGGAGGCAUGGAAUAUU